rnacentral:rRNA from 1 species
UACGUAGGGUGCGAGCGUUGUCCGGAUUUAUUGGGCGUAAAGGGCUCGUAGGCGGCGUGUCGCGUCGGGAGUGAAAGCCCGUUGCUUAACGGCGGGUUGGCUUUCGGUACGGGCAUGCUGGAGUGCGGCAGGGGAGACUGGAAUUCCUGGUGUAGCGGUGGAAUGCGCAGAUAUCGGGAGGAACACCUGUGGCGAAAGCGGCUCACUGGACCACAACUGACGCUGAGGCGCGAAAGCUAGGGGAGCAAACAGG